AUUGAACGCUGGCGGCAGGCCUAACACAUGCAAGUCGAGCGGAUGAAGGAGCUUGCUCCUGGAUUCAGCGGCGGACGGGUGAGUAAUGCCUAGGAAUCUGCCUGGUAGUGGGGGAUAACGUCCGGAAACGGGCGCUAAUACCGCAUACGUCCUGAGGGAGAAAGUGGGGGAUCUUCGGACCUCACGCUAUCAGAUGAGCCCAGGUCGGAUUAGCUAGUUGGUGGGGUAAAGGCCUACCAAGGCGACGAUCCGUAACUGGUCUGAGAGGAUGAUCAGUCGCACUGGAACUGAGACACGGUCCAGACUCCUACGGGAGGCAGCAGUGGGGAAUAUUGGACAAUGGGCGAAGGCCUGAUCCAGCCAUGCCGCGUGUGUGAAGAAGGUCUUCGGAUUGUAAAGCACUUUUAGUUGGGAGGAAGGGCAGUAAGAUAAUACCUUGCUGUUUUGACGUUACCAACAGAAUAAGCACCGGCUAACUUCGUG
rnacentral:rRNA from 1 species